GAUCAUGGCUCAGAUUGAACGCUGGCGGCAGGCCUAACACAUGCAAGUCGAACGGUAACAGGAAGAAGCUUGCUCUUGCUGACGAGUGGCGGACGGGUGAGUAAUGUCUGGGAAACUGCCUGAUGGAGGGGGAUAACUACUGGAAACGGUAGCUAAUACCGCAUAACGUCGCAAGACCAAAGAGGGGGACCUUCGGGCCUCUUGCCAUCGGAUGUGCCCAGAUGGGAUUAGCUUGUUGGUGGGGUAACGGCUCACCAAGGCGACGAUCCCUAGCUGGUCUGAGAGGAUGACCAGCCACACUGGAACUGAGACACGGUCCAGACUCCUACGGGAGGCAGCAGUGGGGAAUAUUGCACAAUGGGCGCAAGCCUGAUGCAGCCAUGCCCGCGUGUAUGAAGAAGGCCUUCGGGUUGUAAAGUACUUUCAGCGGGGAGGAAGGGAGUAAAGUUAAUACCUUUGCUCAUUGACGUUACCCGCAGAAGAAGCACCGGCUAACUCCGUGCCAGCCGCCGC
rnacentral:rRNA from 1 species